rnacentral:rRNA from 1 species
UACAGAGGUCCCGAGCGUUGUUCGGAUUCAUUGGGCGUAAAGGGUGCGUAGGCGGCGGGGAAAGUCUGAUGUGAAAUCCUGGGGCUCAACCCUGGAACUGCAUUGGAUACUUCCUUGCUAGAGUACUGGAGAGGAAACUGGAAUUUACGGUGUAGCAGUGAAAUGCGUAGAGAUCGUAAGGAAGACCAGUGGCGAAGGCGAGUUUCUGGACAGUUCCUGACGCUGAGGCACGAAGGUCAGGGGAGCAAACGGG